GCUACGGGAGGCUGCAGUGGGGAAUAUUGCACAAUGGGGGAAACCCUGAUGCAGCGACGCCGCGUGAGUGAAGAAGUAAUUCGUUACGUAAAGCUCUAUCAGCAGGGAAGAAAUACUGACCUUACGGUCAGCAGACGGUACCUGAGUAAGAAGCCCCGGCUAACUACGUGCCAGCAGCCGCGGAAAUACGUAGGGGGCAAGCGUUAUCCGGAUUUACUGGGUGGAAAGGGAGCGUAGACGGUUCGCCAAGGCUGGAGUGAAAUGCCUCAGCUUAACCGCGGAACUGGUUUGGACACUGGCGAACUAGAGUGCGGGAGGGGUAAGCGGAAUUCCUAGUGUAGCGGUGAAAUGCGUAGAUAUUAGGAGGAACACCGGUGGCGAAGGCGGCUUACUGGACCGUAACUGACGUUGAGGCUCGAAAGCGUGGGGAGCAAACAGGAUUAGAUACCCGAGUAGUC
rnacentral:rRNA from 1 species